rnacentral:tRNA from 1 species
GACUCCAUGGCGCAAUGGUAGCGCGUUCGACUCCAGUCACCAUAGCUUGUGUCAUCGAAAGGUUGCGUGUUCAAGUCACGUUGGGGUCA